UCAAUUAUAAAUUAUAAAUUUAUUUGUUUGAUAUUCUCACACAAUAAAUUAUGUUUUUCACUCCUCAAUGUGUCACGGGAAAAAGAUAAAAUUUUCUGGAGAGGGUAAUAGGUGACGUGAAAUUAGUAAUGGCCAAAGCAAGAAGGUUUAUCUAUUAUCGCUAUAGUCGGUUAGUCAUAACUAUGGCUUGAAAAUUAGUAAAACUGGUCUAAUGUAGUAGUAAAACCUAAAAAAAGACUUCAGAUUUUGGUUAAAACUGAAAGAUAAAAAAGUGACUUAUUUAGGGUAUGUUUGGUA
rnacentral:lncRNA from 1 species